rnacentral:hammerhead_ribozyme from 1 species
AUCCAGAUGACGAGCCUCAAAUAGGACGAAAUGCGCAUCCUGGAU